rnacentral:rRNA from 1 species
AGUGUAGGCGGCUGUUUAAGUCGGAUGUGAAAGCCCCGGGCUCAACCUGGGAAUUGCAUUCGAAACUGAAUAGCUAGAGUUUGGUAGAGGUAAGUGGAAUUCCGGGUGUAGCGGUGAAAUGCGUAGAUAUCCGGAGGAACAUCAGUGGCGAAGGCGGCUUACUGGACCAAAACUGACGCUGAGGCUCGAAAGCGUGGGGAGCAAACAGGAUUAGAUACCCUGGUAGUCC